UACGGAGGGGACUAGCGUUGUUCGGAAUUACUGGGCGUAAAGCGCGCGUAGGCGGUUUUGCAAGUCGUGGGUGAAAGCCCGAGGCUCAACCUCGGAACUGCCCUCGAUACUGCAAAUCUCGAGUCCGAGAGAGGUGAGUGGAAUUCCUAGUGUAGAGGUGAAAUUCGUAGAUAUCAGGAGGAACACCGGUGGCGAAGGCGACUUCCUGGACACCAACUGACGCUGAGACGCGAAAGCGUGGGGAGCAAACAGG
rnacentral:rRNA from 1 species